GGCGAGGUAGCUCAGCCUGGUUAGAGCGCUAGACUCAUAUGCAUAGCAUUAUGAGUGAUGAGCUUUUAUAGCGAUGACGAGAAAUCUAGAGGUCGUGGGUCCAAAUCCCGCCCUCGCCA
rfam:Candidatus Micrarchaeota archaeon Mia14 chromosome, complete genome.